UCUCCGUUGGUGAACCAGCGGAGGGAUCAUUACAGAGUUGCAAAACUCCCAACCCUUGUGAACAUACCCGUUACAGUUGCUUCGGUGGGCAGCCCCAGGGCGGGGCUGCAGCCUCUUCUCACGAGGCGCCCGCCGGAGGUAUAUAACUCUUUGUAUUUGUUGGUCUCUCUGAGUAAAUUUAUAAUAAGUCAAAACUUUUAACAACGGAUCUCUUGGUUCUG
rnacentral:misc_RNA from 1 species